UUUCCGUAGGUGAACCUGCGGAAGGAUCAUUGUCGAAACCUGCCCAGCAGAACGACCCGCGAACUUGUAUAAACAACUGGGGGCGGGGGGCGUUCUCGCCCCGUGCCCCCGAACGGCGGGGAGACACUCGUGCCUUCUUGCCGAACAACGAACCCCGGCGCGGUCUGCGCCAAGGAACUUCAACUAAAGAGUGCCUCCGGUCGCCUCGGAAACGGCGUGCGUGCCGGAGGCGAAUCUUGUGAAAAACCAUAACGACUCUCGGCAACGGAUAUCUCGGCUCUC
rnacentral:misc_RNA from 1 species